rnacentral:rRNA from 1 species
AAAUUGAAGAGUUUGAUCAUGGCUCAGAUUGAACGCUGGCGGCAGGCCUAACACAUGCAAGUCGAACGGUAGCACAGAGAGCUUGCUCUUGGGUGACGAGUGGCGGACGGGUGAGUAAUGUCUGGGAAACUGCCCGAUGGAGGGGGAUAACUACUGGAAACGGUAGCUAAUACCGCAUAACGUCUUCGGACCAAAGUGGGGGACCUUCGGGCCUCACACCAUCGGAUGUGCCCAGAUGGGAUUAGCUAGUAGGUGGGGUAAUGGCUCACCUAGGCGACGAUCCCUAGCUGGUCUGAGAGGAUGACCAGCCACACUGGAACUGAGACACGGUCCAGACUCCUACGGGAGGCAGCAGUGGGGAAUAUUGCACAAUGGGCGCAAGCCUGAUGCAGCCAUGCCGCGUGUAUGAAGAAGGCCUUCGGGUUGUAAAGUA